CACUACAACCAUGCUACCCUGAAUGUGCCCGAUCUUGUCUGAUCUCGGAAGCUAAGUAGGGUUGGGCCUGGUUAGUACUUGGAUGAGAGACUACCUAGGAAUACCGAGUGCUGUAGGUG
rnacentral:rRNA from 1 species